UACGAAGGGGGCUAGCGUUGUUCGGAAUUACUGGGCGUAAAGCGUGCGCAGGCGGCUUCUCAAGUCAGGGGUGAAAGCCCAGAGCUCGACUCUGGAAUUGCCUUUGAGACUGAGUGGCUUGAGUACGAGAGAGGUGAGUGGAAUUCCCAGUGUAGAGGUGAAAUUCGUAGAUAUUGGGAAGAACACCGGUGGCGAAGGCGGCUCACUGGCUCGUAACUGACGCUCAUGCACGACAGCGUGGGGAUCAAACAGG
rnacentral:rRNA from 1 species